GGCGCGACAGACAGCGCAACAGAAAGCAAACCGCCCGAGAGGGGCCGUCUUUCGAUACCCGCCGGCGGCGCAAGCCCUCGGCGACGUCGGGGGCGGGCCAAACCCUCCCGGGUAAGGGUGAAAGGGUGGGGUAAGAGCCCACCGCGUUUCCGGCGACGGAAGCGGCACGGCAAGCCUCGCUGCGAGCAAGGCCGAACAGCGAAGGGCGACUCGCCCUGCCUCCCGCCCCUCGGGGCGGGAAGCGAUUCGCGGGUAGGUCGCGCGGGAGCCGCCGGGAAACCGGCGGACGAGAUGGAUGGCGACGGCCCCGCAAGGGGUACGGAACCCGGCUUAUAGGUCCGCCCUUUUU
rnacentral:RNase_P_RNA from 1 species